CUUGAUCCAACUAUAAAUAGAAACCUCUAGGUUCAUAAUUAAGGACUCCCUCGCGCCAACUUUGAUCCCAAACACCAAACCCUUCCAUUUGAGAGGAUAAUCCUGAGAAUUUCCUUGUGAAAUUGAGUUUGAAUCUCACCGUUUUGAGAUUCAAAACUCCAGGGAUCCAAGGCCUUUUGUGCAUCCUAAUCUUCACCGUUUUGAGAUUCAAAACUCCA
rnacentral:lncRNA from 1 species